rnacentral:rRNA from 1 species
UACGUAGGGUGCGAGCGUUGUCCGGAAUUAUUGGGCGUAAAGAGCUCGUAGGCGGUCUGUCACGUCGGCUGUGAAAUCCCGAGGCUCAACCUCGGGUCUGCAGUCGAUACGGGCAAACUAGAGUAUUGCAGGGGAGACUGGAAUUCCUGGUGUAGCGGUGAAAUGCGCAGAUAUCAGGAGGAACACCGGUGGCGAAGGCGGGUCUCUGGGCAAUAACUGACGCUGAGGAGCGAAAGCGUGGGGAGCGAACAGG